UACGUAGGCAGCGAGCGUUGUUCAGAGUUACUGGGCGUAAAGGGUGUGUAGGCGGUUUUCUAAGUUUGGUGUGAAAUCUCCCGGCUCAACCGGGAGGGUGCGCCGAAAACUGGGAGACUAGAGUGCGGGAUGGGAGAGUAGAAUUCCUGGUGUAGCGGUGAAAUGCGUAGAUAUCAGGAGGAAUACCGGUGGUGUAGACGGCUCUCUGGACCGCCACUGACGCUGAGACACGAAAGCGUGGGUAGCAAACAGG
rnacentral:rRNA from 1 species